CAGCAGUCGCCACGGUAAUACAGAGGGUGCAAGCGUUAAUAGGAAUUACUGGGCGUAAAGCGCGCGUAGGUGGUUUGUUAAGUUGGAUGUGAAAUCCCCGGGCUCAACCUGGGAACUGCAUCCAAAACUGGCAAGCUAGAGUAUGGUAGAGGGUGGUGGAAUUUCCUGUGUAGCGGUGAAAUGCGUAGAUAUAGGAAGGAACACCAGUGGCGAAGGCGACCACCUGGACUGAUACUGACACUGAGGUGCGAAAGCGUGGGGAGCAAACAGGAUUAGAUACCCCUGUAGUCCCUGUCUCUUAUAC
rnacentral:rRNA from 1 species